rnacentral:rRNA from 1 species
UACGGAGGUGGCAAGCGUUGCUCGGAAUCACUGGGCGUAAAGGGCGCGUAGGCGGGGAGGUAAGUCGGGUGUGAAAUCCCUCGGCCCAACCGAGGAACUGCGCCCGAGACUGCUUCUCUUGAGUCCCGGAGAGGAAGAUGGAAUUCCCGGUGUAGCGGUGAAAUGUGUAGAGAUCGGGAGGAACACCGGUGGCGAAGGCAGGUCUCUGGGCUGACACUGACGCUCAUGCACGAAAGCGUGGGGAGCAAACAGG